AUUGAACGCUGGCGGCAUGCUUUACACAUGCAAGUCGAACGGCAGCACAGGGAGCUUGCUCCCGGGUGGCGAGUGGCGCACGGGUGAGUAAUACAUCGGAACGUGUCCUGUUGUGGGGGGAUAACUGCUCGAAAGGGUGGCUAAUACCGCAUGAGACCUGAGGGUGAAAGCGGGGGAUCGCAAGACCUCGCGCAAUUGGAUGGGGAUGCGUCUGAUUAGCUUGUUGGCGGGGUAACGGCCCACCAAGGCGACGAUCAGUAGGGGUUCUGAGAGGAAGGUCCCCCACAUUGGAACUGAGACACGGUCCAAACUCCUACGGGAGGCAGCAGUGAGGAAUAUUGGUCAAUGGACGAGAGUCUGAACCAGCCAAGUAGCGUGCAGGAUGACGGCCCUAUGGGUUGUAAACUGCUUUUAUAAGGGAAUAAAGUGGGAGUCGUGACUCUUUUUGCAUGUACCUUAUGAAUAAGGACCGGCUAAUUCCGUG
rnacentral:rRNA from 1 species